ensembl:lncRNA
AAACUUGACAGUUAUGAGUACUCUGAACUUAAUUCAGUUGAGUUCACUGAAAGAAGAUAUACAUUGCAAUUAAAUAAUUAAGUGAUUAAUUGAGUGAUAAUUGUGCAUUAGUGAUGAACAGCUGCUGUUAACAAACAGAAUUGCUGAAGAAAAGAGAAACACAAGAACUACAACUGACUUCAGACACAGCCUUAGAUGAAAUCAACUGAAAUAAAAUACAUUAAAUCUCUCAAGAUUAAACAAAUAUGUUUUAGAAACAUAUGGUUACAACAGCCAGAAAAAAAAACUAAGACAGAAAUCAAGGGUCAAGAGCCCAACUAAAGCAAAUACUGAUCUCUAACAUUGUUACUUCAAAUGAAACAAUAAAUCAACAUCUAAACCUUAGUUAAUUCUCAAGAAGAUCUUCUGUAGAUAUCUGACAGAAAUAAAGUCAGUCUGGUUAUUAAUAAGUGGAGCUGGUGAUGCUGUUUGUGGGGUUGUUUAAUCAGAUCUUGAGAGAUUUAAUGUAUUUUAUUUAUUUUAUCUAAGGCUGUGUCUGAAGUCAGUUGUAGUAGUUCUUGUGUUUCUCUUUUCUUCAGUGAUUGUUUGUUAACAGAAGCUGUUCAUCACUAAUGCUCAAUCAGCACUUAGUUAAUCACUUAAUUACUUAAUUGCAAAGUUUUAAAACUUACAUGGUUUAAAUCAAGGCAAUCUGUUUACUCAAACGGUUUGAGUUAAGUUACUUGUCGGGUACAGUGUAGUACCACAGGAUUACCACAGGACAUUUUUAUAAGGGAACUUAUACAUUUGAAAUUUCAUCUCUUCAUUCUCAUAUAAAUAUGUUAUUGUUGUAUUAAAAUGCUGGUUUGUUGUAGGUGUGUUGAGCUCCAUCAGUGUGACAGGAUAUUCAGGAGGAGGAGUCAGCAUCACAUGCAGAUAUGAUAGAGGAUAUAUAGACAAUGAAAAGUAUUUUUGUAUUGGAGAGCAAGUAACAUGCUCUCAACUCAUCAAGACUAAAGAAAAAAAUAAAUGGGUUAAUUCUGGAAGAUUUUCUCUGUAUGACGACACAAGAGCAGCAGUUUUCACUGUGACCAUCAGAGAUCUGAGUGAACGGGAUUCUGGGACAUACCAGUGUGCAGCUGCUAUCUCUUGGGAUAUAGAUUUUUACACUGAAGUGAAGCUGAACGUUGUAACAGUUAGAGAUAUAACGCUGCCGGAAGAAUGCAACAAUCAGACCCCUGGAGGAUGUUUUCAAAAUCGUUUUGAACAGAUCAAGAACAUCACAGCUAAAGUGCUUCCUUUGAAUGUAAGUCCUCAGGAGAACAUUUAUAAAUUAAU